rnacentral:rRNA from 1 species
GACGAACGCUGGCGGCGUGCUUAACACAUGCAAGUCGAACGGUGAAGCGCCUUCCUUUUUGGUGGGUGUGGAUGAGUGGCGAACGGGUGAGUAACACGUGAGUAACCUGCCCCCUUCUUCUGGAUAACCGCAUGAAAGUGUGGCUAAUACGGGAUAUUCUGGGUCUGUCGCAUGAUGGGUCUGGGAAAGAUAUUGUUUCGGUGGGGGAUGGGCUCGCGGCCUAUCAGCUUGUUGGUGGGGUGAUGGCCUACCAAGGCGGUGACGGGUAGCCGGCCUGGGAGGGUGAACGGCCACACUAGGACUGAGCCGCGGCCCAGACUACUACGGGAGGCAGCAGUGGGGAAUAUUGCACAAUGGGCGCAAGCCUGAUGCAGCGACGCCGCGUGAGGGAUGGAGGCCUUCGGGUUGUGAACCUCUUUCGCCAGUGAAGCAGGCCUGCCUCGUUUGUGGGUGGGUUGACGGUAGCUGGAUAAGAAGCGCCGGCUAACUACGUG